GACGAACGCUGGCGGCGUGCUUAACACAUGCAAGUCGAACGGAAAGGCCCUGCUUUUGUGGGGUGCUCGAGUGGCGAACGGGUGAGUAACACGUGAGUAACCUGCCCUUGACUUUGGGAUAACUUCAGGAAACUGGGGCUAAUACCGGAUAGGAGCUCCUGCUGCAUGGUGGGGGUUGGAAAGUUUCGGCGGUUGGGGAUGGACUCGCGGCUUAUCAGCUUGUUGGUGGGGUAGUGGCUUACCAAGGCUUUGACGGGUAGCCGGCCUGAGAGGGUGACCGGCCACAUUGGGACUGAGAUACGGCCCAGACUCCUACGGGAGGCAGCAGUGGGGAAUAGUGCACAAUGGGCGGAAGACUGAUGCAGCAACGCCGCGUGCGGGAUGACGGCCUUCGGGUUGUAAACCGCUUUCGCCUGUGACGAAGCGUGAGUGACGGUAAUGGGUAAAGAAGCACCGGCUAACUACGUG
rnacentral:rRNA from 1 species